rnacentral:rRNA from 1 species
GGGGCGCUCUUUGCUUAACACAUGCAAGUCGAGCGGAAAGGCCCCUUCGGGGGUACUCGAGCGGCGAACGGGUGAGUAACACGUGAGCAACCUGCCCCUGACUCUGGGAUAAGCCCGGGAAACUGGGUCUAAUACCGGAUAUAACCACUGGUCUCAUGAUCGGGUGGUGGAAAGUUUUUCGGUUGGGGAUGGGCUCGCGGCCUAUCAGCUUGUUGGUGGGGUGAUGGCCUACCAAGGCGACGACGGGUAACCGGCCUGAGAGGGCGACCGGUCACACUGGGACUGAGACACGGCCCAGACUCCUACGGGAGGCAGCAGUGGGGAAUAUUGCGCAAUGGGCGGAAGCCUGACGCAGCGACGCCGCGUGAGGGAUGACGGCCUUCGGGUUGUAAACCUCUUUCAGCAGGGACGAAGCUAACGUGACGGUACCUGCAGAAGAAGCGCCGGCUAACUACGUGCCAGCAGCCGCGGUAAUACGUAGGGCGCAAGCGUUGUCCGGAAUUAUUGGGCGUAAAGAGCUCGUAGGCGGUUUGUCGCGUCUGUCGUGAAAGCCCACGGCUUAACCGUGGGUCUGCGGUGGAUACGGGCAGACUAGAGGCAGGUAGGGGAGAAUGGAAUUCCCGGU